rnacentral:rRNA from 1 species
CCUACGGGUGGCAGCAGUGAGGAAUAUUGGUCAAUGGGCGCGAGUCUGAACCAGCCAAGUAGCGUGAAGGAAGACUGCCCUAUGGGUUGUAAACUUCUUUUAUAAAGGAAUAAAGUGAGCCACGUGUGCCUUUCUGAAUGUACUUUAUGAAUAAGGAUCGGCUAACUCCGUGCCAGCAGCCGCGGUAAUACGGAGGAUCCGAGCGUUAUCCGGAUUUAUUGGGUUUAAAGGGGGCGUAGGCGGGUUGUUAAGUCAGCUGUGAAAUUUUGCGGCUCAACCGUAAAAUUGCAGUUGAUACUGGCAGUCUUGAGUACAGUUGAGGUAGGCGGAAUGCGUGGUGUAGCGGUGAAAUGCUUAGAUAUCACGAAGAACUCCGAUUGCGAAGGCAGCCUACUAAACUGCCACUGACGUUGAUGCACGAAAGUGUGGGUAUCAAACAGGAUUAGAUACCCCUGUAGUC